UACAGAGGGUGCAAGCGUUGUUCGGAAUUACUGGGCGUAAAGAGUGUGUAGGCGGUGCUCUAAGUUCGGUGUGAAAUCUCCUGGCUCAACUGGGAGGGUGCGCCGGAAACUGGGGGUGCUGGAGCGCGGGAGAGGAAAGCGGAAUUCCUGGUGUAGCGGUGAAAUGCGUAGAUAUCAGGAGGAACACCGGCGGUGUAGACGGCUUUCUGGACCGUAGCUGACGCUGAGACACGAAAGCGUGGGUAGCAAACAGG
rnacentral:rRNA from 1 species